rnacentral:rRNA from 1 species
GACGAACGCUGGCGGCGUGCCUAAUACAUGCAAGUCGAACGCAGUGGGGACGGGUGAGUAACACGUGGGUAACCUCCCAUCAGAGGGGAUAACACUUGGAAACAGGUGCUAAACCGAUCCUGAUGGAUGGACCUGCGGGGCAUUAGCCUGUCGGUGGGGUAACGGCUCACCAAGGCCACGAUGCAUAGCGGACCUGAGAGGUGGAUCAGCCAAACUGGGACUGAGACACGGCCCAGACUCCUACGGGAGGCAGCAGUAGGGAAUCUUGGACAAUGGACGAAAGCCUGACCGAGCAACGCCGCGUGAAUGAAGAAGGUUUUCGGAUCGUAAAGCUCUGUUGUUGGAGAAGCGGUAUCUAAACAGAAAGCCACGGCUAACUACGUGCCAGCAGCCGCGGUAAUAC